GACGAACGCUGGCGGCGUGCUUAACACAUGCCAGUCGAACGGAAAGGCCCUGCUUUUGUGGGGUGCUCGAGUGGCGAACGGGUGAGUAACACGUGAGUAACCUGCCCUUGACUUUGGGAUAACUUCAGGAAACUGGGGCUAAUACCGGAUAGGAGCUCCUGCUGCAUGGUGUGGGUUGGAAAGUUUCGGCGGUUGGGGAUGGACUCGCGGCUUAUCAGCUUGUUGGUGGGGUAGUGGCUUACCAAGGCUUUGACGGGUAGCCGGCCUGAGAGGGUGACCGGCCACAUUGGGACUGAGAUACGGACCAGACUCCUACGGGAGGCAGCAGUGGGGAAUAUUGCACAAUGGGCGGAAGCCUGAUGCAGCAACGCCGCGUGCGGGAUGACGGCCUUCGGGUUGUAAACCGCUUUCGCCUGUGACGAAGCGUGAGUGACGGUAAUGGGUAAAGAAGCACCGGCUAACUACGUG
rnacentral:rRNA from 1 species